AUUGAACGCUGGCGGCAUGCCUAACACAUGCAAGUCGAACGGCAGCACAGCAGUAGCAAUACUGUGGGUGGCGAGUGGCGGACGGGUGAGUAAUGCAUCGGGACCUACCUGAACGUGGGGGAUAACGUAGGGAAACUUACGCUAAUACCGCAUACGUCCUACGGGAGAAAGCGGGGGAUCUUCGGACCUCGCGCGGUCAGACGGACCGAUGUUCGAUUAGCUAGUUGGUAGGGUAAUGGCCUACCAAGGCGACGAUCGAUAGCUGGUCUGAGAGGAUGAUCAGCCACACUGGAACUGAGACACGGUCCAGACUCCUACGGGAGGCAGCAGUGGGGAAUAUUGGACAAUGGGCGCAAGCCUGAUCCAGCAAUGCCGCGUGUGUGAAGAAGGCCUUCGGGUUGUAAAGCACUUUUAUCGGGAGCGAAAUACUAUCGGUUAAUAACCGGUGGGGCUGACGGUACCCGAGGAAUAAGCACCGGCUAACUUCGUGCCAGCAGCCGCGGUAAUACGAAGGGUGCAAGCGUUAAUCGGAAUUACUGGGCGUAAAGGGUGCGUAGGCGGUUUGUUAAGUCUGUCGUGAAAUCCCCGGGCUCAACCUGGGAAUGGCGAUGGAUACUGGCA
rnacentral:rRNA from 1 species